GACGGAGGGUGCAAGCGUUAUCCGGAUUCACUGGGUUUAAAGGGUGCGUAGGAGGGCAGGGAAGUCAGUGGUGAAAUCUCCGGGCUUAACCCGGAAACUGCCGUUGAUACUCUCUGUCUUGAAUAUGGUGGAGGUGAGCGGAAUAUGUCAUGUAGCGGUGAAAUGCUUAGAUAUGACAUAGAACACCAAUUGCGAAGGCAGCUCGCUACACCUAUAUUGACUCUGAGGCACGAAAGCGUGGGGAUCAAACAGG
rnacentral:rRNA from 1 species